rnacentral:rRNA from 1 species
GGCGAACGCUGGCGGCGUGCUUAACACAUGCAAGUCGAACGAAGAGCGAUGGAAGCUUGCUUCUAUCAAUCUUAGUGGCGAACGGGUGAGUAACGCGUAAUCAACCUGCCCUUCAGAGGGGGACAACAGUUGGAAACGACUGCUAAUACCGCAUACGAUCUAAUCUCGGCAUCGAGGAUAGAUGAAAGGUGGCCUCUACAUGUAAGCUAUCACUGAAGGAGGGGAUUGCGUCUGAUUAGCUAGUUGGAGGGGUAACGGCCCACCAAGGCGAUGAUCAGUAGCCGGUCUGAGAGGAUGAACGGCCACAUUGGGACUGAGACACGGCCCAGACUCCUACGGGAGGCAGCAGUGGGGAAUCUUCCGCAAUGGACGAAAGUCUGACGGAGCAACGCCGCGUGAGCGAUGACGGCCUUCGGGUUGUAAAGCUCUGUUAAUCGGGACGAAAGGCCUUCUUGCGAAUAGUGAGAAGGAUUGACGGUACCGGAAUAGAAAGCCACGGCUAACUACGUG